rnacentral:rRNA from 1 species
CAUGCAAGUCGAGGGGAAACGACAUCGAAAGCUUGCUUUUGAUGGGCGUCGACCGGCGCACGGGUGAGUAACGCGUAUCCAACCUGCCCACCACUUGGGGAUAACCUUGCGAAAGUAAGACUAAUACCCAAUGACGUCUCUAGAAGACAUCUGAAAGGGAUUAAAGAUUUAUCGGUGAUGGAUGGGGAUGCGUCUGAUUAGCUUGUUGGCGGGGUAACGGCCCACCAAGGCGACGAUCAGUAGGGGUUCUGAGAGGAAGGUCCCCCACAUUGGAACUGAGACACGGUCCAAACUCCUACGGGAGGCAGCAGUGAGGAAUAUUGGUCAAUGGGCGAGAGCCUGAACCAGCCAAGUAGCGUGCAGGAUGACGGCCCUAUGGGUUGUAAACUGCUUUUAUAAGGGAAUAAAGUGAGUCUCGUGAGACUUUUUGCAUGUACCUUAUGAAUAAGGACCGGCUAAUUCCGUGCCAGCAGCCGCGGUAAUACGGAAGGUCCGGGCG